rnacentral:rRNA from 1 species
GAUGAACGCUGGCGGCGUGCUUAACACAUGCAAGUCGAACGAAGCACUUAUCUUUGAUUCUUCGGAUGAAGAGGUUUGUGACUGAGUGGCGGACGGGUGAGUAACGCGUGGGUAACCUGCCUCAUACAGGGGGAUAACAGUUAGAAAUGACUGCUAAUACCGCAUAAGACCACGGAGCCGCAUGGCUCAGUGGGAAAAACUCCGGUGGUAUGAGAUGGACCCGCGUCUGAUUAGGUAGUUGGUGGGGUAACGGCCUACCAAGCCAACGAUCAGUAGCCGACCUGAGAGGGUGACCGGCCACAUUGGGACUGAGACACGGCCCAAACUCCUACGGGAGGCAGCAGUGGGGAAUAUUGCACAAUGGGCGAAAGCCUGAUGCAGCGACGCCGCGUGAGCGAAGAAGUAUUUCGGUAUGUAAAGCUCUAUCAGCAGGGAAGAUAAUGACGGUACCUGACUAAGAAGCACCGGC